CGGGGAGGAAGGUGGGGAUGACGUCAAGUCCUCAUGGCCUUUAUGUCCAGGGCNACACACGUGCUACAAUGGUCGGUACAAACCGUCGCAAACCCGUGAGGGGGAGCUAAUCGGAAAAANCCGACCUCAGUUCGGAUUGGAGUCUNCAACUCGACUCCAUGAAGCUGGAAUCGCUAGUAAUCGCGAAUCAGAACGCCGCGGUGAAUACGUUCCCGGGCCUUGUACACACCGCCCGUCACAUCACGAAAGUGGGCUGUACUAGAAGCCGGUGGGCUAACCGCAAGGAAGCAGCCGUCCAAGGUAUAACUCAUGAUUGGGGUGAAGUCGUAACAAGGUAACUUCAGUCAGUCGAAUCCCGCG
rnacentral:rRNA from 1 species